GUGCUCGCUUCAGCAGCAUAUACACUAUCAUUGGAAUGAGACAGAGAUUAGUAUGUUUCCCUUUGUGAGGAUGAUGCAUGAAUUUGAGAAGCAUUCCAUGUUCUU
rnacentral:snRNA from 1 species